UUUGGUAUUUUCCUCAUGUUUAGGCUGAAGUUAUGGGCUUUUGGGUGGAAGACCACGGACAUAGAGCACCAUUUUUGUCAUGUGAUAUCAAAGAGCUCAGACAUCCUCAGCACCGCCGGCUACGACAGCAUCAUCCAGCACCUGAACAACGGCCGCAAGAACUGCAAAGAAUUUGAAGACUUUUUAAAAGAAAGGGCAUCAAUUGAAGAGAAAUACGGCAAAGACCUGCUAAACCUCUCCAGGAAGAAGCCGUGUGGACAGUUGGAGAUCAACACCCUGAAGCAGGCCCUUGAAGUCUUCAAGAAGCAGGUAGACAGUGUGGCACAAUGUCACAUUCAGCUUGCCCAGACUCUAAGAGACGAGGCCAGGAAGAUGGAAGAAUUCAGGGAAAAGCAAAAGCUACAACGGAAAAAGACGGAGCUCAUAAUGGAUGCUGCCCAUAAACAAAGGAGCUUACAGUUCAAGAAAACUAUGGAUGCAAAGAAGACCUAUGUGCAGAAAUGCCGGGACAAAGACGAAGCAGAGCAGGCUGUCCACCGGAGCGCCAAUGUGGUGAACCCGAGGCAGCAAGAAAAGCUUUUCGUGAAACUGGCAACUUCGAAGACUGCAGUCGAAGACUCAGACAAGGCGUACAUGAUGCACAUCAACACUCUGGACAAAGUCCGCGAAGACUGGCAGAUCGAGCACAUCAAGGCCUGUGAGAUGUUCGAAGCUCAAGAAUGUGAACGAAUAAACUUCUUUCGGAAUGCCUUGUGGUUACACAUGAAUCAGCUGUCACAACAAUGUGUCACUAGUGAUGAGAUGUAUGAAGAAGUCCGUAAGAGCUUAGAGGCAUGCAGCAUUGAGAAGGACAUUGAGUACUUUGUGAACCAACAAAAAACUGGACAGACUCCACCAGCACGCAUUGUGUAUGAGAAUUUCUACUGCCCCCAGAAGAAUACAGCCCCACAGGGAAAGGCUCCAGGGCCCAACUUACCAAGGAGAGGACCUCUCCCAGUUCCUAAAAGUUUACCAGAUAACCCUGAUUAUUCUUUGAUUGAUAACUACAGUCUGAUCUAUCAGUAACAUCAGUGGCUCCCUUUUUCUCAUGAAAAGAGGCACGGCCCAUAUUAGAGGUAGAAAGGGACAUGGGGAAUCAGUGACUUGGGACUCCAAGGCGAAAUCCGCCCUCUGGAACAACACCAUGGAGGUGAUGGCUGCAGAAAACAAACCUUUUUCGGGCCGGUGCUUCUACAGCGUGGGAGGAGGCACUCAGAACAGCAGAAUCCUUAGCCAAACUGUGUCAGUCGUGAAACUUCCAAGUGAAACCUUGCUGUAAUUUUUUUUGUAUUUUAAAUUCAUUGUAGACAUUUAGAUCAACUUAGGCUAGUUAAGUUCUGAAAUUCUUAGGAGAAGUUUACAAAUUGCCCCAGACUGAAGAAUCAUUCUUUCCUAGGCGGUUACUAACGUUGUGAGUGAAUUGUGUUGUCUCCUUGGUCUCUGGAUUUGGAGCCCUGACUCUUGUUGUGGGGGGGCAGAGGUGGCUGCAGAGGGGUGUGAGCCAUGAACCUGGAGGGGCUUCUUUGGCUCCGGGGGCAGCUUGGCUGUAGAAUGUUCACCGCAGCACGUGCCCUCGGUGGUGCACCAUUUCAAAUCACCUUCCUUUUUGGCUGGAAGACUUGGAGGCCAUCUAAUUAUACUUUCUCAUUUUACAGAUGAGGAAAUGGGGCCCAGAAGUGUGAAAUCAAUUUCCUUACGGAUUAGGGACAGAAUCCAAACUGGAGUGUAAGCUCACCUCACGUUACCAUUCUGAGUGAUCCUUCCUCAGGCCAUUGGUGCUUGUGUUGAAAUUUCAGACGCCGAAUGUUUUUUGCCGGCGUCUUUCCAGUUGGGAAAAUAACCAGGGUUUAAAUGUCAGAUUUAUUUUUAUGGGAGUGCCUGUGUGUCCUGAACUUCUAGAGCACCAUAUUUAAUUUAAUCUAAGAAGCCACUGAUUAUAAGGCAUGGCCAUUAUUUUACACACCACUGAGCAAGUUAGGUGAGGGAGUUGACGUUCUCAGUGGGGGCAGAAUUACUCAUAAAGGGGUGAAAAUUGGGACAGUUAAGGGUUAAGCCCAUUUAAAUUUGAUUUGCUAAACUGAGGCGGGGGGAAGUACAUCCUAGAGUCAGUGCAAUAGGGUAUUUGGACCUCAAUUCCUAAAGAGAAUUCGAGAGCUCCAAAGCCAGUCCUCAGUCCUGGGUCUUCACAGAAAAUCUUUGCCUUGCUAGCUCCUAGAACUUUUUAAAGCGUCAGUCUUACCCUUUCGCAGGUAUUUGAGUCUUUCUUCUUGUUACCCACAAACAGCAGGGAGACAAUGUCCCUUUUGUGUAAUAUCCACACGCCAUGAGAAAAUGGUGCAUUUUAGUUAAUGACAAAUUAAACUAGCACUGGUACUUAUUCAGUAUGUUGUUGGCCUUGUAACACAUAUUUUCUUCUCCUGCUCUAUGCAGUAGCUUUCUCAGAACUGUGCACAAAUUGACUGAAACAAGAUUGAUUAUUUCCCACCCUUUAAGGUGUUACUGAAAGUGGCAGCUUCUCCUCAUGACAGGAAGCUUGCAUCAAUUGGAUAUCCUUUUGAGAAACUGAAGUUUGCAAAGGGCCAUUGACUUCCCCAAACUGAGCAGGCUCAGGACAUUUCCUUCAAGCUCAGAACAUUCUAAUUUUUAGGUAUUUUAUUUAUUGUUCACAAUUCCUCAGGGAUUUCACUUUUCUCUCUUUUGGUCAGUGCAAUCGCUGUAAAUGUGUUUUAUGAGUUGAAAAUACUUUUAUUUUAUUGCUCUUUCAGUUUGAUAUGAAGUAAAAUAAAGGUUCCUUGGAGAUUUAGGA